AUUGAACGCUGGCGGCAGGCCUAACACAUGCAAGUCGAACGGAGUGGCGGACGGGUGAGUAAUGUCUGGGAAUCUGCCUGGUAGUGGGGGAUAACGUCCGGAAACGGGCGCUAAUACCGCAUACUAUCAGAUGAGCCUAGGUCGGAUUAGCUAGUUGGUGGGGUAAAGGCCUACCAAGGCGACGAUCCGUAACUGGUCUGAGAGGAUGAUCAGUCACACUGGAACUGAGACACGGGCCAGACUCCUACGGGAGGCAGCAGUGGGGAAUCUUCCGCAAUGGACGAAAGUCUGACGGAGCAACGCCGCGUGAGUGAUGACGGCCUUCGGGUUGGAAAGCUCUGUUAAUCGGGACGCGGUACCGGAAUAGAAAGCCACGGCUAACUACGUGCCAGCAGCCGCGGUAAUUC
rnacentral:rRNA from 1 species